UUAAUUCCUCAGACUUCUGUGGAAAAUCCACAUCUCCACAUAGACAGUGGACCAAAAAGAGAUUUGCAGAAGAAGCCAUUCAGUGAUAGCAGCAAGAAGGCAAAGGUGAAUUCCACUGAGAAGAAUCUCAGUAAGAAGGAUGAGAGAAGGCUCCAUCAAACAACAAGAGGAGCGAGAGAUGGAUUACAGAGGAGAGAUCAUUUCUUUUACCAGCAGGGACUAGAUGAUAUUUGUUGGUUACAUUUUUGUGAAUAUUUGAAAUUUUAUCAGGUGGGAAGGAAGGAGCUUUCUUUUUACUUAACAGGUUUGGCCUGAAUACCUAUUUAUAUUCACAGAUGUGGAAGUUGUGUGCACUGCUAGUGUAUGACUUUGACUGGGAUUUCUUUGAAGACUUUUAAACUUCUACUUGUUUCAUUUUUGUCCCUCAAAAUUAAAGGAGUUAAGUACUCUGA